ACAGGCGCACGGGUGCGUAACACGUAUGCACCUACCUUUUACUGGGGAAUAGCCCGAAGAAAUUCGGAUUAAUGCCCCAUAUGACCGCAUGGUGAAAGCUCCGGCGGUAAAAGAUGGGCAUGCGUCCUAUUAGCUUGUUGGUGAGGUAACGGCUCACCAAGGCUACGAUAGGUAGGGGACCUGAGAGGGUGACCCCCCACACUGGUACUGAGACACGGACCAGACUCCUACGGGAGGCAGCAGUGAGGAAUAUUGGGCAAUGGAGGAAACUCUGACCCAGCCAUGCCGCGUGCAGGAAGACGGCCUCUGGGUUGUAAACUGCUUUUAUAUGGGAAUAAACCCUUCCACGUGUGGAAGGCUGAAGGUACCAUACGAAUAAGGAUCGGCUAACUCCGUGCCAGCAGCCGCGGUAAUACGGAGGAUCCAAGCGUUAUCCGGAUUUAUUGGGUUUAAAGGGUCCGUAGGCGGGUCUUUAAGUCAGUGGUGAAAGCCUGCAGCUUAACUGUAGAAUUGCCAUUGAUACUGAAGACCUUGAGUGUAGUAGAAGUAGGCGGAAUAUGGCAUGUAGCGGUGAAAUGCAUAGAUAUGCCAUAGAACACCGAUUGCGAAGGCAGCUUACUAUGUUACAACUGACGCUGAGGGACGAAAGCGUGGGUAGCAAACAGGAUUAGAUACCCUGGCAGUCCACGCCGA
rnacentral:rRNA from 1 species